rnacentral:lncRNA from 10 species
GUGUUUCCUCAGCUGCAGUGCAAGUGGGGCAUGCUCCGUUGAGACUUUAUUCACUCUGGGCAGUUUGUUGAAGAUUAGGUGGUCAGCUCACAAUGAAUCAUAAGCUGCUUUUGUCCCUUGCUGUCUAUGUAUUUCUGUGCAAAACUUGUCUCCAAGGAAGACUCUAAUCUUCUAAACUCUGGAUUUAUAUGAUUUCUCAAUAUGCUAUAUCAACCUCAUUUUGCUAAUAAUGAUACAGGACGGAGGCAGCAAAGUUCUGGAUAGAGAAGGAUGGGGUCCCUGGUGAGGGCUCCACCCUCAGGCCUGUGCCCAUGGACCUAAGUAUGGACAAGCACUCCUGUUUUUGCACCCAAAUGUUGCAUUUUCCAAGACCACUCUGACCCAACACAUGCUCCAUCCUGUGCUUAUAAAAAUCCCGAGACCCUAACAGGCACACACAGAAGUGGCUGGACGUUGAGAGGAGCAGAAGAGCACACUGACAGACACCAGCAAAUGCUCGCAGGCCAUCGAGGGCAGGAUGAGGAUGACUUGGAAUUUGGCAGGGGAUGAUUAGAGGAGAGUCUGGCCACUGGGCAGCCAACUCCACAUUCCCACUUAAUCCUCCUUCUGUUCUCCCCAUCCAUCUUGCUGAGAGCUACCUCCGCUCAAUAAAAUCUUGCACCCACCCUCAAAGCCUAUGUGUGAUCCAAUUUUUCCGGUACAUGAAGGCAAGAACCCAGGAUACAGAAAGCCCUCUGUCCUUGUUGAGCUAAUUAACAAAAGCCACUUGCAGAUGGCAAAACUGAAAGUGCACACUGUAACACAUGCCCACUGGGGCCUCAGGAGCUGUAAACACUCAAGCCUAGAUACUACCAUGGGAUUGGAGCCCAAAAUGCUUUCCACAGCCUCCCUGACUGCAUGCUCCCCACCCGCUUGGGGUUUGAGCAGAGGGGCACCAAAGAAGCCAGUCACACCCCUGUUGCAGUCCCUAUGAAGGGGAUAAAGGAACUUUUCUUGUUUCAACUGGGGGCUUGUCCGGAAUCCCCAAAGGUGAGUGCAAAUGUGAAACUGUCAGAUCUGCCUCUUUUCCAAAACCCGGCCACCUCUCUCUCUCUUUCCUGUGGGUAAAAAGCUCUGUUUCCCUUCAUGGAGUCUUAACUGCCCUAACUGGGCUGGUUAAAAUCCCCAGACUUCUUAUUUUUUUCUCUCUUUCACUGUUUGAAAUGGCUCUUAUAUCUUUCUUUAUAAUGUUAAGAGUUUUGCUACAGGCUGCCAAAGGUGCAAAUCAGAC